UAUACUUCGGUCAAGCUGUGUGUGUGUGUCAGAAAUGCUUCGAUGACAUGUAUUUAUUAUACGUGGGCAUCAAACCGUAAUUCCAGCACGAUAAACUGUAAAUUAAGUUAACUUCACUUUGAAGUACAGGAAAACAAAUGCAGAGUACCUUAACGAUAGACUUUAACUCAAUUUGAGCGUUCCAGGGUGCAUCAAAACAGACUAUAGUUAACAGCAGAAUGAGAAGAAGUAACUGAUGUUAUGAUACUCUGCCUUGGCUUCUCUGGGGAUUUUGAAGUUACGGCAAGAUUUUCUCCAAAAAACAACAAAAUUGACUCAAGAUUUGAAGUUACGGCCUUUUGCUGUUGCACGGCAGAAUAUGUAUCUUUAGAUAUGAGCUGUAAAAUCAAGUACUCUGAGGUCCAUUAAUGCUGACGUGGAAUUCACUCCUUUCGAGAUGCUUUACAAAGUCAAGACUCUUACAGAUUCUCAACUCAGAGGAACCACAGGGGGUUGAUAAGCAAGCUCCUUAUCGAGACAAGCCCCACACUGAGUGUCGACCCCUGGGUUACUAGCUGCUCCGGCCACCAAACCCUUAACAACCUCCUUCAUCCCUCUGUUCUCGACCCCUUCAUCCCUCUCCCCUAGAUCCCUCAGUCAUAAAUACUACUCAUUAUCCGAAUAAACCAC